GACGGGAACUCCUGGGCCUUAGACUCUUGAUGUAAGUCAACAUAUUUACUUCUCUCGAGGUCCUAACUGAUGUUGACAGAUGAGGAAACAGAGUCAGAGAGGAUAACUAACUUGGCCAUGACCAAUGGAGCCAGGCAGAGAGGGAGCCUCCUCAGCCCCAGGCUCAAGACCAGCCUCUAUUACUCAGAAGAACUUAAGAAACUCCGUUCUUCUUCACAUUCAAGCAUCAGCACGUCCGACUUUUGUUUUCAACCCAGAAUCUGUCCUGUGUUCACAGAACCAAAAUCCAGCUUCAUUAUGAAAAUGGAAAUGAGAUCUGGUCCCUGGAAAAUAUCUCAGGUCCCAAGUCCCCACUUCAGCACAGUUGGACGUUCAAGUUUUCUGGUUGGAUGUGUCGAAGGUCUGUCGCCUUGCUAAGGGCUUUUGGUCCUGCCAACCAGGGCCAAAUGAAGGAGACUCUUUCUUUUUCUUGUUGUUCCAGAUCAGAUAACGUUGCCUGAUUAGUUCCUCUGCCAUGAAUUCACACCACAUGUACCCACACGCCAGCCCUCCGCUAAAAGGCCAUCAGCUAUAUUGCUUCCUGCACAAUCAUUCAUAUUUUGCCUCACGCCUUCCCUUCUCCACCUCUGUUUCCGGCUCCUCCUCGUGAAGUGGCAAAAUGCUUGCAAAGAAAAUGUGUCAACAGGUGAAAUUUAUAGGAGUUUCCUGGCCCACACAGCAACGUGAACCACAGGCGUCCCCAAAGGAGAGAUUUGAUUACGCAGGGUUAUGAGUGACAGUCCCUUCCCCAGAAGAUGUGGUGAAAAGAUGCAUUUCAUUGUCUUUGACUCGGUCACGUAUGAUCUACAAAGGCUAAAGGACAGGGGAAAUGAGACAUGCUGAUGGCUUAGGCCUGGGUCCCCAGCUCCACCCCUGGGGCUGGGUGUGGAGUCGAUUUCACCAGACUGCAUGGAAAUCAGGUACAGUGACCACAAGAGCCCUGGCAGUAUUCAGUGCAGUGCGUGUUGCCUUAUCAGAAGUGGGGUGUAGGUGUCACGUAACUUCUUUUCCUCCAUGGCAUAAGCCAGCUUUGUACCUUGAAAAUAGCCAAAACCUGCCCACGUGUAAUCAGCCUUUAUAUACCAAGCUAGGCUGACUUGGAGAGAAGGUUACUGAGUGAUUUAACUUCCAGGAGUGAGGCCUGUUUGCCAAAAUUUUGAUGCAAGUAUGUCAGCAAAGGGAACACGCCAAAGUUCCUCAAAAUAUACAACAGGAUUGCUUUAUAUUCCUUUAUUUUUUUAAAUACAGGGAUUUAUUCAUCUU